rnacentral:misc_RNA from 1 species
AUUAACUUUAUUUAUAAAAUACUUCUGGGAUUAAUUAAACUUCAUUGUUUCGAAGGUCAACUUGCCGUGUUUGCAAAAUACACUUUUGAAUUUUUCUCUUUAUUGUUCAUGACAAGAAUUAUAUAAACAACCAGAAUGUCGACAAUAAUUAAAGAUGAAGAAAUGAAUAAUCAGCGCGUGUUGCCUCGGAUAGUUCUGAUAGCCUGUGGUUCUUUCAGCCCACCGACGCCAAUGCACUGUCGAAUGUUCGAAAUUGCCCGUGAUUAUUACAAAACACAAGGAACACAUCACGUCAUUGGUGGCAUCGUUUCACCCACACACGAUUCAUAUCAGAAAAAAGGACUCGUUGCUGGCACACAUCGAUUUGCUAUGUUGAAAUUGGCAUUGCAAUCCACAACAUGGAUAAAACCCUCAGACUGGGAAAUACAACAAUCGGAAUGGUCACGCACAAUCUCCGUUCUGCAGUACCAUCAAAACUAUAUGAAUAACUAUAUCAACUCUCCACUAGAAAGUGACAUGAACGGUACACUACCUAGCUGGAUGCCUACAGGUUUGCGUGAGCGGCAGGAUGGCGUGCAAUUGAAAUUGCUGUGCGGAGCUGAUUUACUAGAAUCAUUUGCAGUGCCGGGAUUAUGGGCAGAUAAGGAUAUUGAAGACAUUGUUGGCAAUCAUGGUUUAGUGGUUAUUUCACGUUAUGGCUCUAAUCCUGAAAAAUUCAUUUUCGAGUCAGAUAUGUUGACGAAAUAUCAGAAACAUAUUACGUUAAUAACGAAUUGGGUACCCAACGAAGUUAGUUCUACAAUGAUACGACGUCUUAUAUCGCGCGAUCUGUCUGUGAAAUUCUUGAUCGAUGACAGGGUCAUUGAUUAUAUUCAAAUGCAAGGAUUAUUUAAUUGUAAAACUGUGUUCCAAAUAUGCCAAAAAAACGCAGGCGGUGGGAUGUACAGAAUAUGAGAAAGGCCAUGGCAGCUGUAGCAACGGGGAUAGGGGAAUACUGUUGGCCUGUAAAAUCUUUCAAGUUCCACAUACCACAUUACAGCGAAUGGCUAGAAGCGAGAAGCCGGCAGAGGAGCUACUUGCCACUAAAUUAGGCAGGAAAAAAACUAGAAAUUGAAUCCGACGCUAUAAAGAAAAAGACAAAUGCUGUGCUACACAUUGGUGUAGUGUUCCUGAUAGCGCUUAGAAAACAUGUGAAGGAUGUUGUAACCAAAUAAUGGCUGUAAAAAGGAUGUUGUAAAUGGAGAGUGCUUGCUGAAAGUGAAAAAAUAUUCAAAUAAUUUAUACUUGCUUACGCUUAAUUCAAAUGAAACUUCUAAUAUGUGUAUGUGUGAUUUGGUUUGGUGAAACUUGUAAAAAUUAAUAUUAGAUUAAAGUAGAAAGCUAUUUUAGCACUUCAUGAA